rnacentral:ncRNA from 2 species
UACGUAGGCAGCUAGCGUUGUUCGGAAUUACUGGGCGUAAAGCGAGUGUAGGCGGUUUGCCAAGUCCGUUGUGAAAUCUCCCGGCUCAACUGGGAGGGUGCGGCGGAAACUGGCAGGCUAGAGUGCGGAAUGGGAGAGUGGAAUUCCUGGUGUAGCGGUGAAAUGCGUAGAUAUCAGGAGGAACACCGGUGGUGAAGACGGCUCUCUGGACCGUUACUGACGCUGAGACUCGAAAGCGUGGGGAGCAAACAGG